CAAACAGUUUGACAUAAAUCAGGCAUCUGGUCGGCGGUCGCUCUACCUAAAUUACGAAAGAACUAAAAUCGAACAAAAAAGGAGACCUACAUGAGCGUAACGAAUACUGUGAUCAAAUGCCGCAGUUGGGCCAAUGAUGAAGCCAUCAACGUUUCAGUUUAUAUACACCUCCUUUGCCAGGCGAACGAGCGGCCCUUAUUGAUUUUGAUGGCUGCGCAGCAGUACAAAGUGAUUUAUCGCAGAUCCUGCGGCAAAUGGGGAAGAAACACACACAACGAGGAGCGCAUCCACAAGAUACGAAUCCGGGUCCGAAAACGUCGAUAAGUUGUGGCGGCCUUUAAACGGCCCUCGAGGCGACUUCAUCGCCAUCAUCGUUACCGCCUACAAGACGUCAACACUCAGUGGUCAGAAGACAAGCGAAGGAAAAGGAGACUGCACUGCGAAAAAAUUGGUGAAAACGAUUCUUUUCGACCAGUGUAUACAUACACAAUGGGAUGUGAGACUCGAGAAGAAUGUCUGCACUGCGCCGCUGAUGAACUUAUCUACAUCUCGGGACAUUAACGUGU
ensembl:ncRNA lncRNA:CR44078 long non-coding RNA:CR44078